rnacentral:rRNA from 1 species
CUGAAAUUCGCCUUCAUGAAGCCGGAAUUGCUAGUAAUGGCAGGUCAGCAUACUGCCGUGAAUACGUUCCCGGGGCCCUUGUACACACCGCCCGUCACACCAUGAGAGUUGGGAAUACCCGAAGCCUGUGAGCUAACAUUUAUGAGGCAGCAGUCGAAGGUAGAAUCAAUGAUUGGGGUGAAGUCGUAACAAGGUAAC